rnacentral:rRNA from 1 species
UAAACAUGAGAGUUUGAUCCUGGCUCAGAACGAACGCUGGCGGCGCGCCUAACACAUGCAAGUCGAACGCGAAAGUGUAGCAAUACAUGAGUAAAGUGGCGCACGGGUGAGUAACGCGUAGGUGAU